rnacentral:rRNA from 1 species
UGUUAUUAGAAAUUCUUAAUAAUAAAAUCUGCUCAAUGAAACAAUUUUAAAUAGCCGCUAUACGUGCUAAGGUAGUAUAAUAAUUUGUCUUUUAAUUUAAGACUAGAACAAAAGAUUUUUCAUUUAAAUAAAUUUCUUUUAUUUAUAAAUUUAAAUUAUUUUUAAUAUAAAAAAAUAUUAAUAAAAAAAAUAGACGAUAAGACCCUAUUGAACUUUACUUUAGUUAAACUGGGGUAGUUAAUUAAUUAUUAUUUUAAUAUAACUUAUUACAAAAAAGUUCUAAUAUAAUUAAUUACAUGAUUAAGUUACCAUAGGGAUAACAGUGUAAUACUAUUUUUAAGUUCAUAUUUAAAAUAAUGAUUGCAACCUCGAUGUUGACUUAAUUUACCUUAAUAACGCAAUAGUUAUUUAUGGAAGUCUGUUCGACUUUUAAAUAAUUACAUGA